UUUGUGGUUAAUCUAUGUCUGAACGUUUUUUCAACAAAAUGUACAACUAUCAGUAAAUUUCCUCUGAUUUCAGAUGGUGCACUUGAAAAUAAUACCAUAAAGGCUCAUCAUUUUAAACAAUUAUUGAUUACACCCUGGGGAUUUUUCACCAAUUCCACUCGAUGCUGCUUUUAAAAUGGUAAGUACCUACAUAAUUCUAUGAUUUAUAGAUUGUUCAGAUUUUAUAGACAAUAUAACAGUAAAAAUGCACACUAAUAUAUAAUGUCAUUUGAUUAUACAGUUUUUAUUAAACUAUGUUGACUGACUUUUUUUAUUCUUCAACAGUUCUUUGGCCUGUUAAUGAUUAAAGAUUUGGAUUUCACUCUUUACACUAAAUGUUGAUUUCAAAAACAUACAAACCUUGGAGGGAAGGAGUGGCAAGAAGGAAACAAACUGAAACAACCUUACCUUACAUUACCAAAAGCAAAAUUCCCUCUUUGAAUUAAAUAGCACUCUGGAGGACAGAACAGAACAGUAAUCACAUAAAGCAACUUGUGUGAAUGAUGACUUGGAGAACCUGGCAAGGAAAAAGAGGAGACUCCUCAAGGCAGGAGAUGCAACACACCAACUACUUGCAUUAAUUCAAAGAAAAAAUGGAAAAUGUUGACAAUGUGUUCACAUAGCCUUUUGAAAUAUGGAAAAAUAAA
rnacentral:lncRNA from 12 species